AUCCCCUGUGCCUAACUUUGAAUCUCUUCGUAGGGUGCUUCAGGGAAAGCUGGGGACCCUGGGAGAGAUGUAAGUCAAGGGGGAUGCCAAGGUGGA
rnacentral:pre_miRNA from 14 species